rnacentral:rRNA from 1 species
UGGGGAAUUUUGGACAAUGGGCGAAAGCCUGAUCCAGCAAUGCCGCGUGUGUGAAGAAGGCCUUCGGGUUGUAAAGCACUUUUGUCCGGAAAGAAAUCCUUGGCUCUAAUACAGUCGGGGGAUGACGGUACCGGAAGAAUAAGCACCGGCUAACUACGUGCCAGCAGCCGCGGUAAUACGUAGGGUGCAAGCGUUAAUCGGAAUUACUGGGCGUAAAGCGUGCGCAGGCGGUUUGCUAAGACCGAUGUGAAAUCCCCGGGCUCAACCUGGGAACUGCAUUGGUGACUGGCAGGCUAGAGUAUGGCAGAGGGGGGUAGAAUUCCACGUGUAGCAGUGAAAUGCGUAGAGAUGUGGAGGAAUACCGAUGGCGAAGGCAGCCCCCUGGGCCAAUACUGACGCUCAUGCACGAAAGCGUGGGGAGCAAACAGGAUUAGAUACCCUGGUAGUCCACGCCCUAAACGAUGUCAACUAGUUGUUGGGGACUUCAUUUCCUUAGUAACGUAGCUAACGCGUGAAGUUGACCGCCUGGGGAGUACGGUCGCAAGAUUAAAACUUAAAUGAAUUGACGGGG